ensembl:lncRNA
AGUGCGCUGUGAGGCUCCUGAGGGAAAGGCGGCCGCAGCUGUGCCUUCCCCAAAGCCUCAGGUACAGAGAUCCAUGGAAAACUGGAACAUCUAAUACCUAAGGUAGAUCAAGAUGAAAUAAAGGUAUAAAAAUGAACAGAACAUUCUUCUUUUCCAGCAGCUGACUGUGCUCUUGAGAGAUGGGGCGGAAUGGAGAAAAGUAACAGCAGAAAUGUUAGGAAUGGAAGUUAAAGGUUGAGAAUUCAAGAGGACUGCAGAUUCACAGUUCCAGGUUUUCGCUUGUAAUGGCCUACAGCACUACUGCAGGCUUCCUGAUGGAGAAACAAAUUUGUGCCAGCUUGCUGAAUAACCUCCGUAAUGUUCAGCCGAUCAGAACUUCUCCAUCUGUGUGUCCAUCCAUCCAAAGAACCAGAUGCUCUGAAAAACACUUCAUCCACCCCUCCUGAUGCAUCCAUAUCUGAAAUAUGUUGCUACCAUAACUGCAGUUUUCAGCCCUACAAGCAAAGCCAGCUAUUGACCUAUCUGGAGCUCUCAAUUGUUUAGUCACCUGCUCAGAGAAAAUGAAAUCACUAACUGGGAGCAUCAAUAAUAAAAACUCAUAGAAAGAAACCAUUUCACCAAGGCCUAAGUCCAGACAAUAACUGGAUUUCACCAGGAUGGGAAGCUAAGGUAUCUACCCUAUACAGAUCAGAAACUCUGCCCGGCUCAGAAAAAAAUAUAUAUUUUUUCAGCCAUAUUCUUCAAAGUAAAUAAUCUAAAUUGUAUCCUGUUAAAAUACAAAGUAACCAGGAAAAAAUACUUCCGAUUUACACCUAGCAGAGAUACACUCCUCACUGUAUUACAUUCCUAAUUAUUGCAAGAGAACAGUUUAUUAUAUAACAUAGUUAAGAACCCCAUGAUUAAUUCUGCUAAUAGUUGAACAUUUUCAGUCCAACUACCAGAAUUAUUUUAAAAAUGCCUAUCAUGAGUGAAUAGUUCUGAAAUUUGCUAUUUUCUUUUAUCCAGGAAUCUUGUUGAAAAUUUCUCAGAUUACAGAAAAGUACUUUACUACACAGAGUAAAUUAGAUUUUAAUGAUAAACAGUAAUUAUAUAGUUGGAAGUCACAGAAGCCAAUGAAGGUUGUUAAUGAAUAACACUUGCAAAAGGUGUCUUUGCAUUUUAGUAGCUUGAUUAUUACUUUCUUUUUUUUUUUUUUUUUUUUUUAAGAUAAAUAUUCCGUGAUGCAAGCACUGGAACUUCUGCUUUGGGCAAUUAUUUACUGCUGAAACAUCUGCAUAAGCUGAAGUUACUGACUCCCAACUGUUUGUUACCAUUACUCCUCUGCCAAAAAUUGCUACCCCAUAGAACAUGGUGUUGCUCAGCCAGUAGAAUGGAUCACAUAGGCAUUCCCUGCCUCAUCUGUUUCAGUAUAAAGUUAGCUUGUUAAUUUAAAUUCUACUUCUCAUACAUUUUACAGAAUGAAGUAGUAGAAUUUCUGCUGAAGAUUCAGUUCAGUGUUCAAUAUUAAAUACAUUUUGCAAAAUUUUAAGAAUUGAGCACAAAGCCCAUAGGGCUUUUAAGCUCAUCUUGAUGUUUGCCUGAACCUUCCUAUCCUGAAGCAGCCUUAAAAUGUUGGUAUUAUUAGUUUUCAAGUGAUUUGCUUAAUUAGAGCUAACGUAAAUCUUUGUUGCCAGGUAUGAACAGCUGCUGCAGAGAGAAUCAAGAGCAAAACUCAAUGAGAUUCUUAUGGCAGCAGAAAAGAUAUCAGGAGUGGCCACAACACUAUACAGCACUGUUCCGCAGCUACUUGUUAAUGCUUUUAUGCUGUGUUGAUAUAAAUAGGCACAUAGAAUCUAACAGAAAUGCUCAAGUAGAAAAUCUGCAGUUCUGUCAGGAGCUUAUUCUCCAUCUUAAACUUGACCUUUCCUCAAAGCUUCCAUCUAGAAACUGCAACAUAAUUGUUUCGUAUCCAGAACUGAUGAAGAAUUUGGAUUCCAGUGCAAAACAGACAUGCAGAUAUGGGGACAUAAGAAUUAUAACUAUAUGCACAGCUUGCACAUCAGUUUUUACACCUGUCUCAUACUGAUGCGAUAAAUUGACUAAGAAGUCCUGUCAAAAAACUGAGUAGCUAUGAGGAACAGGAUGGAGUUAGAACUGUAUUAUAAUGUCUUCUCCAUUUGGAAACCUUUGGCUAGAGGUGUAAGAUUAGUCCCUAGCAGUUGUAGUCAUCAUCAAGCUUCAAUGCCUUUGCAUCGUGAAACUGUACCCUCUUUUAAAAAUAGCAAUAAUCUCUAGUUCCAAACUGCACCACAUGAAUACAGCAUUAAAAGUUUGUGAAAGGCUCGUGUUCAGAGUCUAUCUUACAUGAAGUAAGCAGUGCCUUGCUAUCUUGUAAGGCCUAGAUAGCAAUGUGUGAGUUUUGUGGGUGUUUUUUGUUUGUUUAUUUUUUUAAAAUGUAGGAAAGAGAACUAUUGGAUUUAGUCUUAGUUAGAUUCAUUUAUAAAUGCUGACCCUGACAUACAAUCUUCAAUAAAAGCUGUGCUUUUAUAU